CGCCCCCGCGCCCGCGCGCCCGCGCCCGCACCUCCGGCCUCCGCUAGGUGAUGCUGCGCCCGCCUGCGCGCCGCGCCGCCCGCCGGGCGGGGCUGGGUUCCGACGCUCGGUACCGGGUCCGACUCGUGAGCCAGUGUGAGAUGAUUUUUCCCUCCACCAAUUGGAUUUCUUCUCUUCUGGGAAAGACGAGAAUUCUACCAUCCCUGCUGGGUUCUGUCUUCAGCUCUGUUUUCUGCGGCACUAGUACAGUUCAGCUUCAUAAGGAGGCUUUUCAGCAGAGAAGCCUGCGGGGUUGAACCAGUGCCAUGGGGGAAUGAAUUCUUCAAUAGAUCUCUAGCCUCCUUUCUCAAAAUUAAAAUGUGGUGACUUGCAGAAAAGCAUAUGUAUAUAAACGACACAUCCGUGUUCUGACAUUCUGUUCCUUUAUGCUUUUUAGUUCCUGUGCUUCUUUAUAGACUCAAGUUGUUUUUUGUUUUGGGAUUUUGUUUGUUUGUUGUGGUGAACACCACGGUGUCCAUACAGCUCAGAACUGUCCAGCUAAGUUCCACACAUGCCAUGUGGGUCAUCAGCUAUAGUGUCAGCUGAAUUCUAACCGUAAGAACUUUAUUCCUGACUAUGCUAUUAGCAAGAAUGACUUGGCUCUUAGAGCAAAAAAUUAGUCUGCAAAGCUGGCAGUUAGUUUGCUGGUGUCUGAAGUAAGUACAUGUAGAAAAUUCAGUAUUGCUAGAAAAUAAAUAUGGGCCCGUGCAGUGUUGUUUUUGUAAUAAACGUGUAGCAUACAUGAAAUGCCUACAGUUUGAUGCAGGACACGUAGAAGGCUCUAAAUAAAUGUUAGUUACUAGUG